GAUGAACGCUGGCGGCGUGCUUAACACAUGCAAGUCGAACGAUGAAGCCCAGCUUGCUGGGUGGAUUAGUGGCGAACGGGUGAGUAACACGUGAGUAACCUGCCCUUGACUCUGGGAUAGGCCUGGAAAACGGGGUCUAUUACUGAAUAUGACUUCUCAUCGCAGGGUGGGGGGUGGAAAGAUUUAUUGGUUUUGGAUGGACUCGCGGCCUAUCAGCUUUUGGGUGGGGUAAUGGUUCACCAAGGCGACGACGGGUAGCCGGCCUGAGAGGGUGACCGGCCACACUGGGACUGAGACACGGACCAGACUCCUACGGGAGGCAGCAGUGGGGAAUAUUGCACAAUGGGCGCAAGCCUGAUGCAGCGACGCCGCGUGAGGGAUGACGGCCUUCGGGUUGUAAACCUCUUUCAGUAGGGAAGAAGCGAGAGUGACGGUACCUGCAGAAGAAGCGCCGGCUAACUACGUG
rnacentral:rRNA from 1 species